rnacentral:rRNA from 1 species
CCUACGGGAGGCAGCAGUGAGGAAUAUUUGUCAAUGGACGAGAGUCUGAACCAGCCAAGUAGCGUGAAGGAUGACUGCCCUAUGGGUUGUAAACUUCUUUUAUAUGGGAAUAAAAUGUUCCACGUGUGGGAUUUUGUAUGUACCAUAUGAAUAAGGAUCGGCUAACUCCGUGCCAGCAGCCGCGGUAAUACGGAGGAUCCGAGCGUUAUCCGGAUUUAUUGGGUUUAAAGGGAGCGUAGGUGGAUUGUUAAGUCAGUUGUGAAAGGUUGCGGCUCAACCGUAAGAUUGCAGUUGAAACUGGCAGUCUUGAGUACAGUAGAGGUGGGCGGAAUUCGUGGUGUAGCGGUGAAAUGCUUAGAUAUCACGAAGAACUCCGAUUGCGAAGGCAGCUCACUGGACUGCAACUGACACUGAGGCUCGAAAGUGUGGGUAUCAAACAGGAUUAGAUACCCUAGUAGUC